ensembl:lncRNA
AGAAGAGUUGUGCGAACUCAGGUCACAAUUUAGAACAAGAUUCGAUGUCGUCGACCAGAAGCUGGUGGAUAUGACAAACAUUCUCACAACACUGAAGGACACAGUUAAAGAGAUAAAACAAGACGUGGUGAGCAACACAGCCCACAUCGACCAGGCUGAGACCCGCAUUGAUGAGACAGAAACAGCCCUGAGAUCAGCCAUCAAACGAAUCUCUCUUCUGGAAGCAAAAACCGAAGACCUGUAGAACCGAGGUAGGAGGAAGAACUUGCGUAUCCUUGGAAUAAAAGGGAGCUGAGGGGACAGGGCCACUCACUGACUUUAUAAAGGAAAUGUUCCCAGCAUGGCUGAGGCUGUCACCGCAAAGACAUUGGCGUUAGAACGUGUUCACCGUACGCUGGCUCCCGGGAGACCGAACCAGAACAGCGGUAGUGGUGCCGUUCUCGCUGCUUCAAGAGAAGGAGUUUGUCUACCGGGAGAGUAGAAAGAAGGACAUGAAACACGACGGGCUAAAAAUCCCUUUUACUCAGGACCUUUCAGCAGAAACGGUACGUGCUCGGAGAGGAUUUCAACCCGUGAUAAAGAACUUUAUCGACAUCAGGGCCUUCCGGGUUUCAGUACAAUCCGUGCAAGCUCAGGAUUCUGUAUAAAGGCAAGAUUCACCUUUUUUCAACACUGCAGGAAGCCGAACAUUUCUACAAAGGAAUCCCGCAAGCAACGGCAGAUACCGACCAAAGAACUACAGACUUCACAACCUGCUCAAACUCUUGGUACAGGACCUCACCACACGGGUCAAGAAGGUUUCUGUCUCAUUUCUACUCUGAAGCUCACCUUCUCCUGCUAUAACUGCUGACAAAUGUUUCUGCUACUCUAAAGUCUGGUCUCCAGAACUUCCUAAAAACUCUC